UGCAUCUCACAAGUUUUGUUAUGUAUUUUUUUCAUAGUUUUUCAAGUCUAAAUGUUUUGUAAUUUUUAUUAAGACUUUAUCUUUAAUCCACAAUAUAUUUAGGGGUAUUUUUAUUUCUAAUUUAACAGUAUUAUGGAUAGAAAAUAUGAUUUGUAUACUACAAGCUAUUUAAAAUUUGUUGAGGCUUCCUUUGCUAAAGUGAUCAAUGUGUGUUUGAAAAGGAUAUAUAUUCUUUUUUCAGAUGCAGGCUUCUACACAUCUAUACUGGAUCAGGUUAACCAAAUUAGCUCUUCAUAUCUUACAUAACUUUUAUCCUUUUUUAUCUACUUGAUCCAUCAGAUCCUGAUAAAAGUGUAUUGAAAAUAUUCUACUGAGAAUAUGAAUUAAUCAACUUCUCUUUAUAAUUUAGUCAUGUUAAGUGCAUACAAAUUCAUAAUCAUUGUAUGUUCUUUUUUUUUUUUUUUUGGCUGUGCUGGGUCUUCAUUUCUGCACAUAGGCUUUCUCUAGUUGUGGCGAGUGGGGGCUACUCUUUGUUGUGGUGCACAGGCUUCUCAUUGUGGUGGCUUCUCUUGUUGUGGAGCACGGGCUCUAGGUGCGAGGGCGUCAGUAGUUGUGGUACGCAGGCUCAGUAGUUGUGGUGCAUGGGCUUAGUUGCUCCUCGGCAUGUGAGAUCUUCCCGGACCAGGGCUCGAACCCGUGUUCCCUGAACUGGCAGGUGGAUUCUUAACCACUGUGCCACCAUGGAAGCCCCUCAUUAUAUAUUCUUGAUGGGAUGUUGCUUUUAUGAUGUAUACUUUAGACUUAAAUUUUAUUUGGUCUGAUAGAAAUAUUGCUAGGCAUAGGUAUUAGUUUCCCAUGGCUGCCAUAACAAAUUACCACAAACUGGGUGACUCAAACCACAGAAAUUUAUUUUCUCAUGUUUCUGGAGGCUAAAUGUCAGUAACAAGGUAUUAGUAGGGCUGUGCUCCCUCCUAAUCCUGUAGGAGAGGAUCCCUCCUUGCCUCUUCCAGCUUCAGAUAACCCUUGACAUCCCUUGGCUUGUGGCAGCAUAACUCCAAUCUGGGUCUCCACAACCACAUGGCCAUCUUUCUAUGUGUCUGUGUGUCUCUCUUCUCAUAAGGACACCAAUCAUAUUGGAUUAAGGAUCCAUCCUACUCCAGUAUGACCUCAUCUUAACUAAUUACAUCUGCAAUGACUAUUUCCAAAUAAGGUCACAUUCUGAGGGGCUGGGGGUUAGAACUUCAACAUAUUGUUUUGGGGGACACAACUCAAUCCAUAACCACACAUUUAUUUUUGGUUUGCAUUGGAUGGGUAUAUCUUUUUCUAACUUUUUAUUUUCAAUCUUUCUUUGUGGUUUUGCUUUAGGUAUACUUCUUAUAAACUUUGUUCAUUUUUUAUCUAAUCUGCAAGUCUAUCUUUUAAUAGAUUAUCUGUUUACAUUUAUUAUAAUGACUAAUAUAUUUUAACUUAUUUCUGCCAUAUUUAGUUUUCUAUUUACCACCCCUUUUCUUUGCUUCAUUGUUAUUUUCCUUUCCAGCUAGCCUAGACUCCCCCCACAAAGCAGAGUCUGAGAUAAGGGCUUGUUGGCAGCUUAUUUUAGGAAAUGAUUCCAGGAAGAGUAGAGGAGGGGGCUGAAUGGAAAGCUGAUCACCACCAUGAGCAAAGGGACCCACUACAGACCCUCAGAGGAGGUAUAUAGAAUGCAGCCUUGUCUAUAGAGAUGUUAAUAGUGUUUUUUGAAUGUGGCUGUAUCAUUUUAAUUUUCUCUUUAUGUAUCAUAUAUCAUUGUUAUGUGUUUGAAGCAGAGGGUAUUCCUCCCAGCAUGAACUUACAUCAGCGUCUUGGCUGUCAUUUAACUUUCACAUAAUCCUAUGAGGUACUUUAUCACCUCCAUUUUAGAGAAAUUGAGUCUCAGAGAGGUGAAGUAACUUGCCUGAAGUCACACAGCCAAAAAGGGAUGGAGUCAGAACUCAUACUCUGGUCUGUUUGAUUCCACAGCCAUUCCUCUUAACCACAAACUCUACUGUGUUAUGUGGUGUUGGGUGCAAGUCGAAGCUAGCCCAUGUUUACUUGAGUUUCAGUGGCACCUCUUAUCUCAACCUCAUCAGUCCUCAUAUGGGGGGGAAGAAGAGCAAGCUACUGGACACCAAGCAACUAGAUGGUAUCUGUGUGGUUUGACCCCAUCUCUGUCCAAACAGGAGUAUUCUAGAGAGACCCUGAAAAUUACAGAAGCAAAGAGAUUUCAUAACCUUUAUUAAAGAAGGGUUUUUGUUUUUGUUUCUGUUUUGGGCCCACAGCUCUAUCUACUCCCCACAGAGUGUGGAUUACUAGGUAAAUCAGGUAAUUAUUGCCUAAGUCAGGGACUACUGUGAUUGAGAAAUUAACCAUGUCUGUUUUUCUUCUGCAGGCUCACUGGAAAAGAAUGUGAGGUAUUUUCCCCUCUUCCUCUCCAGAGGCCCCUGUGUUUUGGAGGGCUGGGCUUCUCUUGCCCCAGGGAAGAGUUAGAGGCCUUAGAUUUUCUAAGGGUCUGGAGAGUUAGCACUACUUGUUAGAGAUGGAGAGGGCUGGGGAGGGGCCCUGGGGCCCAGAGGUCAUUAAAGGCUGGCAGGACCCUUGAGUGCUGGGCCUCCACCAGGCACUCUGGAGGUGGCAGGGCCUUUGGGGAGGGCCUAAGAAGGGGGAAGAGAUGUCUGGGGGCCCUUGGUUUGGAGAUGUUGCUGUGGGCAGCAACAGCAGCCUCUAACUGGUCUACUAGGGCUUGGACCAUAGGCAACUCAGCAGUGACCAUCACAGACCUGGUGCCCUUUGCCAAGUUUCGGGAAUCCUGAAGUACUCGGAGUUCUGCGUGGAAGGAGAGUGAAGGGCCCUGAAAAGUGGCUGGGAUUGAAUUAUCUGAGAUCCUGGUAGGUGGGGGUCUAAGUAUGAUUUAAUUUGAUUUAGAAAAUUCGUGAAAUGUGUCAUGGAACACAUUCCUAAGUGUUGUGGAACAAUUUAUAUCAGUUACGCUAAUAAUGAUCAAAUCCUGAGGGAAUUUUUCUAACAUAUUUGGUAAAAUAGGUCUUACUAUUUUUUUAAUCUUUUGGAAAUGGUUGAUCAAUAACUGACAGGAUAUAACUAUUCCAAGCCCUUCUUCUGGUAAAAAUAUCCUCAUCCUGGUAAUUUAAAUUCCAAAUUACCUCCAGAUGAGGCUUUAAAAACACCCUGUGAUUAAAUCCACACCAAAUGGAGUUUCUGUGGGAACCUUUGCUGACUCAGAGGGACGACCUGUGAGUUUUUUGAAAGGCCCAGGAUCUGGACUGGGCUAGAAAUGAGACUUGGGGCUGAGGAACCCAUGACUAAGCCUUGGGGUUCCUGGCCCCGGACGCUUGCCCAGAGCUGAACGUUCGACUGAAAGGCCUUAGAAGGAGCCCGCUGCGAAUCUCUCUGGAAUCUCAGGACCCUUUCUCACCUACCCUUAUUAGACCAAGGAGGCAGAGCUGCAGGGGUGGGACCGACAGGCAUUAGGCUGGGCCUGGGGGUUGGGAGCGAGCCAGUGCCUGAGUCUGUGCAUCUGUAUGUGUCUGUGUUUGAGUCUGCGUGUUUGUCUCUGCGUGUGUGUGUGUGUGUGUGCGCGCGCCGCGUGCGUCCUUGCCAGGGAGAGGGCGUUAGGAAGGCCCUUGAUUCUAGGUUUCCUAAGAGAAAGUGGUUCACAGCACAGGUGUCCAAAUUUCUUGGACCAGAAGCCCGCCAGGGUCUCGCAGACCACCUGUAGCCCAGCACACGUGGCUCUGGCCUGUGUUGCGGGCAAGGAACAGGAUCUUCUUUUUAGCUGAGAGCGGUGGGCACAAGAAGGAGCAGGGUGGAGAGUGUGGGGGGAGCCGGCCAGCACCCUGGGCGAGGGGAUGGGGAAACCGAGGCAGGGAGGGCAAACUUUACGCCAAAGCCCUCAGAACAACGGGUUAAUUUCCAGCAGGAGGGCUGAGCCUUGCGGCGCGCCGUCCCCCAUGGCGUGCGCACGCACUGACGCUAGGCCCCGCCCCCACCCGCCAUUUUCUCUCCAGUUCCCCGCCCGCCUGGGGGACGCUUCCUCCAGUGGUGCGGAAUGCCAGAAGGGGCACCGUUUUUUUCGAGCUCUGCUUUAGUUAGGCGCUCUGCUGGGCACAUGCCACUUGGGAUCUCAUUGAAUGUGCUUGGUGACUGUAAUCUAAGGUUUGUUACCGCUAUUUUACAGGUGAGGAAACUGAUGCCCAGAGAGGGGAAGUGGGUUGCUCAAGAGAACGGGCUGAUGAGUGUCAGAGCUCUGUGAUCCUGAUGACUCAGCCUAUGUAAGCUUCAACGUCUUCAUCUGAAAAAUGGGAUGAUAGUAUUUACCUUGUUGGCUGUUGUGUGGAUUAAAUGAGGCCAUGCCCAUGGAUGAACAAUGUUGGAUGCCCAAUAAUCAACCAAUAAUUGGAAGCUUUAUUCACAAUAACAACGGUGGUAGCAACAAAAGCAGCCAAAGCACCUGGAUGAGCACAGAAGCAUCUGGAUGAUCACAAAAGCAAGGGUGUCCCUCGUUUUCAUCUUGCACAAGGCUUUGCAGUUUGUGCAGCUGCCUCUGCAGGGAGCGCUGGGGUCAGAAUCUUGCUUGGCACCGCAGCAACCUCGGGUAACUCUUUACCGGUUGGAGUCGCAGUUUCCCAUCUGGACAACGGGGGCAAUACUUCACAGUUGUUGAGGAUUAAGGCCCAUUCUGUCCAUGCCAUUUGAUUCCACAAGCUGGAAGAAUUGCUGCUCUCUCCAUUGUUUCCCUAGAUCCCUGU